GAUUCUUAGGAAGACCCUGGCCUCCAUCUUGAAAACGGAAAAUAAAAACAGCAGACCUAUGAAGGUCGAAGGGGAAGAAAAGCUGUAUCGAUUGUUGAGAUCUGGCGACUUGUUUAAAUUUCAUCAGCCUCACUUCUAUGAACUCUCAGAGCUGAUUACCAACUCCUACCACUGUUAACCCUCAUCCAGGAACAAGCUUAUGUCUUUAACAUUCUGAGUGGGCUUCAGCAUCCUUGCAUAUGUUCAAUUCUUAAAAACCUGUUGAAAUAAAAGAUCAGGAGACAUAGGAAGGAUGCCAGAAGAGAGCGUGGCCUCACGUGUACCAGCUCUCUGCUCUCCUUUGCCUUGGGACGUUCCAUCCCUGGAAGUUUCCCUGCCCACAUCUUUGUAGAGAGUCCAUUCUCCAAGCUUCAGUGUGUCAUCUGUGAGGACCGUGACCCACCUGGUACAUCGCCUCAGGGCAUUCAUUUCAGGCUCCUUCUAAAUGGCCAAGGUGUCGACCACAACAACAAAAGUUUCAGGAGACUUACUAUGUGCUCAACAUUGUAUUAGGUAUUAUGGUUGACCCUAAAGAAGCAUCAGCUUGGCUUUGCACCAAAGAAGUUUUUAGUCAAGUUGGAGAGAGAUCACUACUCAAAGAACGCAAGAGACUAAUGGAAGACAGAAUAUAUUGGCAGCAGACUAAAAGGCAGAAUGGUCACACUUCAAAAUGUUUGGUACAAGCUAUGGUGAUGUUAUUGAUCUUCUGAUUUGAUGUUCCUGUGAAGGUUCUAUGACCUAUUUUGAUAUGUAGACAGUGGUAAAAUGCUCAAAGCUCUUUGCUACGAUAUGUAAUAACAAAGGGAACAGUAAAAAAUAUUCUGUUUAAAUAAGCCAGAUCACUUUUACAUGUGAUGGCCAAGCCAUGCAGGGGAGGAGGUGCUGAGCCUGGUUCUGUUAGUAACUGAGUGGUAGCUGAAGAAGACAAAUCUAACCAGGCAUGGCAAGUCCGUGGAUGCCAUGAGAGCCUGUGCAUUUAGAACUAGGGCACACUAACAGAGAUCAAACUAAGUUUUUCCACUAACAUCAGACCUUUGCAAUUUAAUGAUUAUAAAACUUUCCUAACAUUUGCAAGUUUCUAAACAUUUAUUUUCUUUUAUUCUGUGCAAUUCCUAUUACCAUUGAAAUUAUUUAGGUCACAUAUUUUUGUGUUAUUUAAGUAACACUCAAAGACAAAACCAAGAAAUUCUUUUUCUACUUUUAACCAUCCUGAUUGGAUAGUUUAUAUUUAUAUCAAGUUCUAAUCUCCUAAAAUUUUUAGUGUGUUUAAUAAUGAAUCUUUGAAGAAUAUGAUACACUUGUGUAAUAGCUUUUUCAUAUAAUAAAAUUUUCCAAAGUAAAUAACCUGACAAAUUAAAAAAAACUCAUACAUUAAAUGUAAAGUACUAUUUUGUUAUAAUCAUAGAAUUUAAUAAAUUAAAAGGAUUUUAGAGAAUA
rnacentral:lncRNA from 1 species